CACAGACAUCUCACAGAGUGUUAUCUGUAUUUACCCAGAAAUGACUGACACUCACCUGAGUCACAUUCCAGAGGAAUUAUGCAUUGGUGAAAUGAUCCAGUCAGAGCAGAAAAAUGUUCCAGGAGAACAAACAGAACAACACCAUGAAGUAAAAAACCAAGGACAAGAUACACAUACAGACAUACUCUGUUCAUCACAUACCAGUACACAAACAACAGAUGAGAUGGAUAACUUAGAGAGUAUACUCAGUAUUCACCAAGAAAUGACUGACACUAACCUGAGGGAUGAGUAUUUAUAAACAUGUUGCAGCUCAAGAGGAGUAUUGCGACUCAGAUGCAGAUGUCCAGUCUGUGCAGAGUACUACCACAUGUCAAGAAGGCAAGAUCUUAGGUUGCAUGCAGUGUAUAACACUAACAAUGUAAA